UUUUUUUUUUUUUUUUUGUUGAAAGAGUUAUUACAACUACAACUAUAAUUAUAACUACAACUAUAACUAUAACUGCAACUAUAACUACAACGAUAAGAACUAUCACUACUCUGAAGACAACGAUGUGUUUUCUCAAGAUGAUAACGGAUCUAGCUUCGCCAUCAAUAAGUAUGAGACAAAGGAGUCCAUCUUUGAUGAAACAUCCAUUUUCCUGUUGUACAUUUUUGCAGGACAACUAGCCUGAGCACAAGAGACAUGGUGUACUAGACCUUGUGCGGAAUGUCUACUUCAAAACUUGCAUCUUUAUAUCUGAUAUAUAGAGAUAUAGAGAUAUAGAGAUAUAGAGAGAGGCUGAUGAUUUAUAAACACAAACGAUAAGACUUGUAACAUGAAGUUUGUCGAAAAAGUCAAUCUUUAAAUUCCUUUCUGAACCUCUCUGUUAUGUCAGUGCUUCGGUAUUAUGCUUUAAUGCAGUCACUUGAGGCGUUGUCCUAAUAGGUGCAAAGUUACCGUAUAUUUAGGUUUCAUGUUUGUGAUUACUGGAGAACGACUGUGAAGAGACCAACCGUAUCGUGUUUUUUCCAAUUGUGAUCUUCCAAUGCUUAAUAAAUACGAAAUCUUAUUUCGAUUUACAGGCUGGGCAUUCACGAAACAUAGCGUUUUUACAUUUCUACAGGCACACUAUAAACAACUUGCAAUAUCUGCCAUCACUUUAUUUCUCCAACUUUGUUCAAGUUAAAAGUGGCAGAAAGUGUUUCCCGAUAUGAGAUAACCCAACGCAUAUGNUGNUGCAAAAACUAAACGCCCAUUCAUCAAGCGAGUCGAGAUGAGAGGAAUCAUUGUAUAAAANGCUAGCA
rnacentral:sRNA from 1 species